UACGUAGGGUGCGAGCGUUAAUCGGAAUUACUGGGCGUAAAGCGUGCGCAGGCGGUUUGGUAAGACAGAUGUGAAAUCCCCGGGCUUAACCUGGGAACUGCAUUUGUGACUGCCCGGCUAGAGUGUGUCAGAGGGGGGUAGAAUUCCACGUGUAGCAGUGAAAUGCGUAGAUAUGUGGAGGAAUACCGAUGGCGAAGGCAGCCCCCUGGGAUAACACUGACGCUCAUGCACGAAAGCGUGGGGAGCAAACAGG
rnacentral:rRNA from 1 species